UUCGCCGCUUGCGACGUCUUGAGAAGUCCACUGAACCUUAUCAUUUAGAGGAAGGAGAAGUCGUAACAAGGUUUCCGUAGGUGAACCUGCGGAAGGAUCAUUGUUGAAAUUACCAACGAGGAGAACAGUGAACGUGUCAAUGAGCGUCGUCGGGCCGAGCCCUUAUUGGGCAGACGCUGUCCCUGCCCUUGCGGUGUGGAUGAUCGAACAAACCCCGGCGCGAUGGGGCGCCAAGGAAUGUGAAACUUGUUAGCGGGCGGGAAUUUGUCCUAGUUCUACUGAAGUUUGCUUGGAACAGAAUGACUCUUGGCAACGGAUAUCUUGGCCCUCGCCUCGAUGAAGAACGUGGCGAAAUGCGAUACGUGGUGUGAAUUGCAGAAUCCCGCGAACCAUUAAGUCUUUGAAUGCAAGUUGCGCCUGAGGCCUUUCGGUCGAGGGUACGCCUGCUUGGGCGUCACGCCAUUGUUUCGUACGGCUUUGCCCCCACGCACAAGUGACUGAGCCGGAGGUGGACAUUGGCCCCCUGUGCCCUAAGGGCACGGUCGGCUUAAGAGUGGGUUGUCGCCGGUGGUCGGUCACGACGGGUGGUGGCGCCAUGAGCAAACCGAACGUCGUGCCCUGGUUAUGGAGAUGAGCUUUUGUGGAUCCCGACCAUAGUCGUUCGUCUUGGAUUGUGACCCCAGGUCAGGUGGGGCCACCCGCCGAGUUUAAGCAUAUAAAUAAGCGGAGGAGAAGAAACUUAAGAGGAUUCCCAUAGUAACGGCGAGCGAACCGGGAUUAGCCCAGCUUGAGAAUUGUACGGCUGUGCCGUUCGAA
rnacentral:rRNA from 1 species